rnacentral:misc_RNA from 1 species
GAUGAAGAACGUAGCGAAAUGCGAUAAGUAAUGUGAAUUGCAGAAUUCAGUGAAUCAUCGAGUCUUGAACGCACAUUGCGCCCCCUGGUAUUCCGGGGGGCAUGCCUGUCCGAGCGUCAUUGCUGCCCUCAAGCACGGCUUGUGUGUUGGGCCCCGCCCCCCGGCUCCCGGGGGGCGGGCCCGAAAGGCAGCGGCGGCACCGCGUCCGGUCCUCGAGCGUAUGGGGCUUCGUCACCCGCUCCGUAGGCCCGGCCGGCGCCCGCCGGCGACCCCCCUCAAUCUUUUCAGGUUGACCUCGGAUCAGGUAGGGAUACCCGCUGAACUUAAGCAUAUCAAUAAGCGGAGGA